rnacentral:rRNA from 1 species
GUAGGUGGCAAGCGUUGUCCGGGAAUUAUUGGGGCGUAGAGCGCGCGCAGGCGGUUCUUUAAGUCUGAUGUGAAAGCCCACGGGCUCAACCGUGGAGGGUCAUUGGAAACUGGAGAACUUGAGUACAGAAGAGGAAAGCGGAAUUCCACGUGUAGCGGUGAAAUGCGUAGAGAUGUGGAGGAACACCAGUGGCGAAGGCGGCUUUCUGGUCUGUAACUGACGCUGAGGCGCGAAAGCGUGGGGAGCAAACAGGAUUAGAUACCCUGGUAGUCCACGCCGUAAACGAUGAGUGCUAAGUGUUAGGGGGUUUCCGCCCCUUAGUGCUGCAGCUAACGCAUUAAGCACUCCGCCUGGGGAGUACGGCCGCAAGGCUG